rnacentral:rRNA from 1 species
UACGGAGGGUGCGAGCGUUGUCCGGAAUCACUGGGCGUAAAGGGCGCGUAGGCGGCCUGGUAAGUAGGGGGUGAAAUCCUGCGGCUUAACCGCAGGGCUGCCUUCUAAACUGUCAGGCUCGAGCACGGUAGAGGCAGAUGGAAUUCCCGGUGUAGCGGUGGAAUGCGUAGAUAUCCGGAGGAACACCGGUGGCGAAGGCGGCUUCCUGGACCGACACUGACGCUGAGGCGCGAAAGCUAGGGGAGCAAACGGG